rnacentral:rRNA from 1 species
CUCGCGCGUCUCCCCCGACCGCGAAAACCCUAUCCACCUCCACCCAGAGUCGCUGACUCCUCUCCCUCUCACCUCCUGAUUCAGGUCCAUGUCCAGCCUCCCUCCAUGCGCGGCUGCCGAUCUCCAGCGCCGCCGCGCCAACCAUCUCCCGCUCCACCUCUGUCUCCCACCCUCUCUCGCUCUGUCACCACCCCCACCCUCUCCGGCUCCCCCUGUGUAGCCUCCUCCGUUCCGCGAUGGGGCGGCCAUAGCGGCGCUCCUAGAUCUAUGUCAAGGGCAGCCCCCUGCUCGUCGUCAUGGGCGCGGUGGUCAUGAGGAAAGUGGUUGAGGACGGCGAGAUGGAAGUUGUAGCCUACCCGCUGCCCAGGACAAGGACGGCUACCCUGACGCUCCCCCUUCUUCACAAUCUCGCGCUGGGAGAGGAGGGGGUGGCCACUGUUUUCUUCUGCACUCCUCGGCCUUAUCCACAUCGCCACAGGUGACCUCGCCAGACCACUCGCUGUGAAGGUGGAGGAGAUAGCUGAAGUCGAGGGUGUUGUUGAUGACAUAAAAGGUGUUUAUAAAAUAGAGCCUUGUGAAGAACAAAGGAUACAAUACCGAAAGGUCAAUCGAAACUAAUUCUGUAGUACAAAAUAAUUAGCUAGCACUAACAACUAUGCACCCUUCUUUGUCCUGAUGUUCCUAUCCUUGAAGGAUGUUGCCUCACACAUGACAGUAGUUGCACGGCCUAUGAACGAUGUUCCCUCCCAACAACGCCUUUGUGUGCAUCCUCGCUGUUGGCGCUGUCAUGGCAGAAUCAUGCAAGCAUCGGCCAUGGAGGUGUCAUGUGUAUAGCAGUGUUGAUCCUUAAAUAUCUUUGUUGUGCUUUUUGUAUCGUCUUAGUGUGUGUGCGCUUGUUUCCAUUUUUUACUUAAUUUAUUGCUUGCUGCAACACCUAGUUCCUCCUAGUUUGAUAGAGUUGUUUGUUUUGUUCACGGUGGAUGCAUGCUAUGUAAAAUCUCAAAUGGUGUUUUUAUAGUUACAUGUCUAUUUUGACAAAAUGCUGAUUACUGACAUUUACUCUGCAUACCAAUUACUUUCUACCAUUCCUGAUUAUUCUCUACUGCUCUGUACAUUUUUAUAUGAGAAAACACCACCCACUCUGUACUCUACCAAUCAGUUUUCUGGGUUGCUUGGAAGAAAAGAACCAUUACUUGAAAACUAGCUAUGACAUAGACUAGAUCAUUUAAGCUUGGUUGAUAGAUAAAAUUCGGUUCAUGUGCUGGGACAAGUGUACAUUUUUUGUUCAGUGAAGAGUGUGUUUGUGUUGUCGGUGGCGACCUCCUCUGCCGCACGCCGGCGGUGGCCGACUUGCACUGUGACCCUGGCCAUUGAGAUGAACCUGAUCCUGGUCCAUGGUUAGUUAGGGUAUUGGUGCUGUUUGGGCUCGAUUAGCUCGAUUUGAUGUUGUUUUAGGCUUGAGAAAAGUUGUUCUCUUGUUGAAAUGAGAGGGAUAAGGUAGGUACUACAGCUGUUGGCAAUCGUGUACAUGCAAUGGUAGGCAACCAGAGAAUGUGUUGCAUUUGUAUGUCCUCAUGUUUAAAAUUUGUGUCUGGAAGUUAUUACUGGAUCUACUAUCCCAAUAAUUUUUUAUUUCCUAAAUCUCAUGGUAAAUCUGGAAGUUGCAUUGCAUAUAUGUGUAUUGCACCAUACUAGUAAACUUCUAAAAGCAAGUGGAGCUCAACCUUUAUAAUGCACUCUGCAUUCUGCAGAUUAUGCCAUACUUAUUUGCAUGUCAUGCUAUAUGAACAAGCACUGUGGUUGUGAUUGUUAUGCUGGGAACGAUGUUCCUCAUGGUCCCAAUAAUGUUGUUAGUAUGGAAGAGGCACAGGAUCCUUGUUGUCACAUUCCUUGAGCUCUCGUUGAUGGAGGAUAAAUGGAAAUAAGUGAUCAUCUAGUGGAGACAGAGAUAACAAGUACAGACAAACUGCAGGGUACCAAGUAGAGACAAACUGCUACACUGUGGUAUGUUGCUGUCCAUCAGAAUCCGCCAUGCCAUAUAGUUGCCAUCAGGAGCUUUGACGACAAGAACACGAGUGACAACCUUGGUAGUUAUAUGUUUUGUCGAUGUAAAUUGGAUUGUACCAGUUCCUAAUCCUAUGGAUGGUUGCAAAUUGAGUGAUUUUGUCAACAUAUGGUGUAUAUUAUCAUUUCAUGGAGGAUAUUAUAAACUGCUAGGUUCUACAUACCUAUAGAUGGUUGCAUAUUGAGUGAUUUGUGUAACAUAUGGUACUUUGGAAAUAUUGUCCUCGUCCAAAAUUGGCAUUAUGAUUUACGGAACACAUUAUGCUAAAGGCGUAUUUGAUCAAAAUUG